rnacentral:rRNA from 1 species
UACGUAGGGUGCAAGCGUUAAUCGGAAUUACUGGGCGUAAAGCGCACGUAGGCGGUUUUUUAAGUCAGAUGUGAAAGCCCCGGGCUCAACCUGGGAAUUGCAUUUGAAACUGGGAAACUAGAGUGUGUGAGAGGGGGGUAGAAUUCCAAGUGUAGCGGUGAAAUGCGUAGAGAUUUGGAGGAAUACCAGUGGCGAAGGCGGCCCCCUGGCACAACACUGACGCUCAGGUGCGAAAGCGUGGGGAGCAAACAGG